UAAUAGUAUUAAUAGAGUAUAAAUUCUAGGGACAUUGCGUGCAAAUAAAAUUCAUGUUUGCCUCUCUUUCCAAUGUUAGUUUCUGAUGUCAUUUCCAGAGCAACAUAAAUCUAGACAUAAAAGCCACACUAAUAUAUGCUCAACUUGAGAAGUAGUUAAGUUAGAAAAUCGAUUAAGUCUUCAUGAAGGUUCUAUCCAAUAAUGUCCAUUAUAUCAAUUGGAAGAACACUAGAUGUUUAAAAAUCACAAAAUGGAAGUGCUGGAGGUAAGCAAUGGUUGUAAAGCACUCAUAUUUUAUUCCAUGGCUUUGAGGAUUUUUGUAUAUAAAACACUCAGAAAUUUCGGGCUAAUAUCUUUAUUAGAAAGAAACGAAGACUUGAAAAAACAAGGUAAUAAAAGAAAGCCAAAUGGCUAAUAGGAAAAACAAAAUUUCAGAGCAUUCUGAAAUUUGAUAACACCAAUUCUUCAGGUGCUCACUGCUCGGCGAUUCACAACCAUGCUGCAGAAGUUUGGCAUAACUCAGAGUCUUACCUGCUCAACAAUGUCCUUCAAGGAGAUGUCAGAACUCCCAAUUCACUGGUAGGUGGUAAGCAUGCAUUUAGUACAGGUUGAAAGACUAUAUACUGAUAAACUAAUUCCUGGUUCAACACAUAUUCACAAGUAGAUCGCCAUUUAAUGUCAUAGUUGAUGAUCAGAUAAUAAAACAGAAAAAUAAAACUAAUUACAAGUUAAAAUUUUAUCAUCAUGAACAUGCUAACAACAAGUUUCAAAGAACUACAGCAGCUACACAUAUAUUCCUACCUCUCCUGUAGCACAUGUAAAACCCACUCUUGUUCUCAAUCAGGCCUGUCUGGAAGUUGUGGAAAUUUCAAAAAAGAAGUAUGAUAUGUCUUUAUAGUUUAU
rnacentral:lncRNA from 1 species